AACGAACGCUGGCGGCAUGCCUAACACAUGCAAGUCGAACGAGAUCUUCGGAUCUAGUGGCGCACGGGUGCGUAACGCGUGGGAAUCUGCCCUUGGGUUCGGAAUAACUCAGAGAAAUUUGAGCUAAUACCGGAUGAUGUCGAAAGACCAAAGAUUUAUCGCCCAGGGAUGAGCCCGCGUAGGAUUAGCUAGUUGGUGGGGUAAAGGCCUACCAAGGCGACGAUCCUUAGCUGGUCUGAGAGGAUGAUCAGCCACACUGGGACUGAGACACGGCCCAGACUCCUACGGGAGGCAGCAGUGGGGAAUAUUGGAAAAUGGGCGAAGGCAUGAUCCAGCAAGGCCGCGUGAGUGAUGAAGGCCUGAGGGUUGUAAAGCUCUUUUACCCGGGAUGAUAAUGACAGUACCGGGAGAAUAAGCCCCGGCUAACUCCGUG
rnacentral:rRNA from 1 species